AGGUCUUGACAUCCCGAUGCUAUUUCUAGAGAUAGAAAGUUACUUCGGUACAUCGGUGACAGGUGGUGCAUGGUUGUCGUCAGCUCGUGUCGUGAGAUGUUGGGUUAAGUCCCGCAACGAGCGCAACCCCUAUUGUUAGUUGCCAUCAUUCAGUUUGGGCACUCUAGCGAGACUGCCGGUAAUAAACCGGAGGAAGUGGGAUGACGUCAAAUCAUCAUGCCCCUUAUGACCUGGGCUACACACGUGCUACAAUGGUUGGUACAACGAGUUGCGAGUCGGUGACGGCGAGCUAAUCUCUUAAAGCCAAUCUCAGUUCGGAUUGUAGGCUGCAACUCGCCUACAUGAAGUCGGAAUCGCUAGUAAUCGCGGAUCAGCACGCCGCGGUGAAUACGUUCCCGGGCCUU
rnacentral:rRNA from 1 species